rnacentral:rRNA from 1 species
GACGAACGCUGGCGGCGUGCUUAACACAUGCAAGUCGAACGGAAAGGCCCUGCUUGCAGGGUGCUCGAGUGGCGAACGGGUGAGUAACACGUGGGUGAUCUGCCCCUUACUUUGGGAUAAGCCUGGGAAACUGGGUCUAAUACUGGAUAGGACCAUGCUGUAGGUGGUGUGGUGGAAAGAUUAGUUUCGGUAAGGGAUGAGCUCGCGGCCUAUCAGCUUGUUGGUGGGGUAAUGGCCUACCAAGGCGUCGACGGGUAGCCGGCCUGAGAGGGUGGACGGCCAGAUUGGGACUGAGAUACGGCCCAGACUCCUACGGGAGGCAGCAGUGGGGAAUAUUGCACAAUGGGCGCAAGCCGGAUGCAGCGACGCCGCGUGGGGGAUGACGGCCUUCGGGUUGUAAACUCCUUUCAGCCAUGACGAAGCCCUUGUGGUGACGGUAGUGGUAGAAGAAGCACCGGCUAACUACGUG